GUGUCCUGCUCGCUUCAGUGGCCCAUAUCCUGAAACCGGAACGACGCAGAGAAGAUUGGCCCCUGCGCAAGGAGGACACGCACAUUCGUGACGCGUUCCAUAUUUUA
ensembl:snRNA U6 U6 spliceosomal RNA